rnacentral:lncRNA from 1 species
AAAAUACGAUUUUCUUGAGUUUUGAAUAGAAAAUAAUCAUCAUAUCGUUUAAUACAGCAUAUCAAAUCGAAUCAUUUUUCUACAGUAACAAGAAAUUACAGCAACAGUGUUUCCAACAGACAGAUGAACUACACAAUUUUCCGAACGUAUGUCGAUUAGUUUUCUGACGUAAAUCCAGGUCUUCAUUGUUUACGUGAUUACAAUGUUAAAGUUGUGAGUGCCUGCAGUUGUGAAAGUGGUUGAAACAUCUAGAACAGCGUGGAAAAACAUUCGUUCCCAAUGAAAACGUCCAGCGCUCUAAUUAGUACCCGCCUUUCAAUAUAUCAGGAUGGAGCACCACUGCACUGGCACCAUCUUGUAAGAGUAUUUCAUCGUCCUACAUGCUUCCCCUUCCAACAUCUUUGGGUGAACUACGACGCCACAUAGCAGAAUCAGUGAAUGCAGUAAAUCGAGACAUAUACAUAAAGUAAAGAAUUUGUUUAUCAGCUGGAUGCUUUUCAUGCAUCAGGUGGAGGGCACACUGGAAUUUAUGAAAACUGCUGAUGUGAGAGGGAUGGAAAAUGUUUCUAAAAGAAGAAUAUGGGAGUUAUUGCUGGGAUCUGCACACCAUUUUACACAGAACUUUGUCAUGGCGGUAAUUAAGGUGUUUACAAUGAGAAUGUUCAAGAAAGAAUUUUAAAUUCACCUUCUACAAUUUUUAAUGAUACAACAGUAUCAAACAGUUAACAGUAAAUUCCUUGCCUUUUCUCUUAGUAACAUGUUUCCGUGUCAACUUUCUCUAUAAAUAAUUUAAAUAUAGAAUUAGACCUUGUGUGCUUGUUACCUUUGUGAAAUCACAAUUAUGUGUGUGGCAUUUGUUCUUUCUAACAUGUCGAAAAGAACAGACACUACAAAUAUAAUGGUACUAAUUAUAA